UACAGAGGUCUCAAGCGUUGUUCGGCUUCAUUGGGCGUAAAGGGCGCGUAGGCGGCGGGGUAAGUCGGGUGUGAAAUCUCAGAGCUCAACUCUGAAACUGCACUCGAUACUGCUCUGCUUGAGGACUGGAGAGGAGACUGGAAUUCACGGUGUAGCAGUGAAAUGCGUAGAUAUCGUGAGGAAGACCAGUGGCGAAGGCGGGUCUCUGGACAGUUCCUGACGCUGAGGCGCGAAGGCCAGGGGAGCAAACGGG
rnacentral:rRNA from 1 species